UCCCCCGUGGCGCAACUGGCUAGCGCGUCAGACUGUUAUCUCUUUUCUUCUCUUCAAGAGAAAUAAGACGAAAAAGACAUCUGGAGGUUCUCAGUUCAAUCCUGAGCGGGGGAG